rnacentral:rRNA from 1 species
UGGGGAAUAUUGGACAAUGGGCGCAAGCCUGAUCCAGCCAUGCCGCGUGAGUGAUGAAGGCCUUAGGGUUGUAAAGCUCUUUCGCCGAGGACGAUAAUGACGGUACUCGGAUAAGAAGCCCCGGCUAACUUCGUGCCAGCAGCCGCGGUAAUACGAAGGGGGCUAGCGUUGUUCGGAAUUACUGGGCGUAAAGCGUAUGCAGGCGGAUCUUUAAGUCAGGGGUGAAAUCCCGAGGCUCAACCUCGGAACU